AUAUUGCACAAUGGGCGCAAGCCUGAUGCAGCAACGCCGCGUGAGGGACGACGGCCUUCGGGUUGUAAACCUCUUUUGGCAGGGAAGAAGCGAAAGUGACGGUACCUGCAGAAAAAGCACCGGCUAACUACGUGCCAGCAGCCGCGGUGAUACGUAGGGUGCAAGCGUUGUCCGGAAUUAUUGGGCGUAAAGAGCUCGUAGGCGGUUUGUCGCGUCUGCUGUGAAAACCCGAGGCUCAACCUCGGGCCUGCAGUGGGGACGGGCAAACUAGAGUGCGGUAGGGGAGAGUGGAAUUCCUGGUGUAGCGGUGGAAUGCGCAGAUAUCAGGAGGAACACCGAUGGCGAAGGCAGAUCUCUGGGCCGUAACUGACGCUGAGGAGCGAAAGCAUGGGGAGCGAACA
rnacentral:rRNA from 1 species